rnacentral:rRNA from 1 species
CUACGGGCUGCACCAGUGGGGAAUAUUGCACAAUGGGCGCAAGCCUGAUGCAGCCAUGCCGCGUGUAUGAAGAAGGCCUUCGGGUUGUAAAGUACUUUCAGCGGGGAGGAAGGGAGUAAAGUUAAUACCUUUGCUCAUUGACGUUACCCGCAGAAGAAGCACCGGCUAACUCCGUGCCAGCAGCCGCGGUAAUACGGCGGGUGCAAGCGUUAAUCGGAAUUACUGGGCGUAAAGCGCACGCAGGCGGUUUGUUAAGUCAGAUGUGAAAUCCCCGGGCUCAACCUGGGAACUGCAUCUGAUACUGGCAAGCUUGAGUAUCGUAGAGGGGGGUAGAAUUCCAGGUGUAGCGGUGAAAUGCGUAGAGAUCUGGAGGAAUACCGGUGGCGAAGGCGGCCCCCUGGACGAAGACUGACGCUCAGGUGCGAAAGCGUGGGGAGCAAACAGGAUUAGAUACCCGGGUAGUC